AUUAUGAGGUUGUAGAAUAUUCAUCGUACUAGAAUCUUUAAUCAUCAUCCUUAGAUCUAAAUAAUGGAUCUUAUUAUGUCUCUUGGAGACUACAUGAUUUGUAUGAAAUUUCAAUUUAAAAAUUUCGUAUCUAAGUUGAUCAAGAGAUUUUCUGAUAUUAUUGUUGAGGUUGUUAAUGAAAAAUUGAUAUCUUCAGAUUAAGAUAAAAGAUCUGAUUUAUAUUUAUUUCAGAUUAAGGGACCCAUGUGAAUUUAC
rnacentral:lncRNA from 1 species